rnacentral:tRNA from 1 species
GGCUGUUGGUCUAGGGGUAUGAUUCUUGCUAGGGUGCGAGAGGUCCCGGGUUCAAAUCCUGGACGAGCCC